UGGGGAAUAUUGCACAAUGGGCGCAAGCCUGAUGCAGCCAUGCCGCGUGUAUGAAGAAGGCCUUCGGGUUGUAAAGUACUUUCAGCGGGGAGGAAGGCGAUAAGGUUAAUAACCUUGUCGAUUGACGUUACCCGCAGAAGAAGCACCGGCUAACUCCGUGCCAGCAGCCGCGGUAAUACGGAGGGUGCAAGCGUUAAUCGGAAUUACUGGGCGUAAAGCGCACGCAGGCGGUCUGUCAAGUCGGAUGUGAAAUCCCCGGGCUCAACCUGGGAACUGCAUUCGAAACUGGCAGGCUAGAGUCUUGUAGAGGGGGGUAGAAUUCCAGGUGUAGCGGUGAAAUGCGUAGAGAUCAGGAGGAAUACCGGUGGCGAAGGCGGCCCCCUGGACAAAGACUGACGCUCAGGUGCGAAAGCGUGGGGAGCAAACA
rnacentral:rRNA from 1 species